GGGUUGUGAGGUUAAGCGACUAAGCGUACACGGUGGAUGCCCUGGCAGUCAGAGGCGAUGAAGGACGUGCUAAUCUGCGAAAAGCGUCGGUAAGGUGAUAUGAACCGUUAUAACCGGCGAUGUCCGAAUGGGGAAACCCAGUGCAAUUCGUUGCACUAUCGUUAACUGAAUACAUAGGUUAACGAGGCGAACCGGGGGAACUGAAACAUCUAAGUACCCCGAGGAAAAGAAAUCAACCGAGAUUCCCCCAGUAGCGGCGAGCGAACGGGGAGCAGCCCAGAGUCUGAAUCAGCUUGUGUGUUAGUGGAACGGUCUGGAAAGUCCGACGGUACAGGGUGAUAGUCCCGUACACCAAAAUGCACAGGUUGUGAACUCGAAGAGUAGGGCGGGACACGUGGUAUCCUGUCUGAAUAUGGGGGGACCAUCCUCCAAGGCUAAAUACUCCUGACUGACCGAUAGUGAACCAGUACCGUGAGGGAAAGGCGAAAAGAACCCCGGCGAGGGGAGUGAAAAAGAACCUGAAACCGUGUACGUACAAGCAGUGGGAGCACCUUCGGGUGUGACUGCGUACCUUUUGUAUAAUGGGUCAGCGACUUAUAUUCUGUAGCAAGGUUAACCGUAUAGGGGAGCCGCAGGGAAACCGAGUCUUAACUGGGCGUUAAGUUGCAGGGUAUAGACCCGAAACCCGGUGAUCUAGCCAUGGGCAGGUUGAAGGUUGGGUAACACUAACUGGAGGACCGAACCGACUAAUGUUGAAAAAUUAGCGGAUGACUUGUGGCUGGGGGUGAAAGGCCAAUCAAACCGGGAGAUAGCUGGUUCUCCCCGAAAGCUAUUUAGGUAGCGCCUCGUGAACUCAUCUUCGGGGGUAGAGCACUGUUUCGGCUAGGGGGUCAUCCCGACUUACCAACCCGAUGCAAACUACGAAUACCGAAGAAUGUUAUCACGGGAGACACACGGCGGGUGCUAACGUCCGUCGUGAAGAGGGAAACAACCCAGACCGCCAGCUAAGGUCCCAAAGUCAUGGUUAAGUGGGAAACGAUGUGGGAAGGCACAGACAGCCAGGAUGUUGGCUUAGAAGCAGCCAUCAUUUAAAGAAAGCGUAAUAGCUCACUGGUCGAGUCGGCCUGCGCGGAAGAUGUAACGGGGCUAAACCAUGCACCGAAGCUGCGGCAGCGACACUAUGUGUUGUUGGGUAGGGGAGCGUUCUGUAAGCCUGCGAAGGUGACCUGUGAGGGUUGCUGGAGGUAUCAGAAGUGCGAAUGCUGACAUAAGUAACGAUAAAGCGGGUGAAAAGCCCGCUCGCCGGAAGACCAAGGGUUCCUGUCCAACGUUAAUCGGGGCAGGGUGAGUCGACCCCUAAGGCGAGGCCGAAAGGCGUAGUCGAUGGGAAACAGGUUAAUAUUCCUGUACUUGGUGUUACUGCGAAGGGGGGACGGAGAAGGCUAUGUUAGCCGGGCGACGGUUGUCCCGGUUUAAGCAUGUAGGCUGGUUAUCCAGGCAAAUCCGGAUAAUCAAGGCUGAGGUGUGAUGACGAGGCACUACGGUGCUGAAGUAACAAAUGCCCUGCUUCCAGGAAAAGCCUCUAAGCAUCAGGUAACAUCAAAUCGUACCCCAAACCGACACAGGUGGUCAGGUAGAGAAUACCAAGGCGCUUGAGAGAACUCGGGUGAAGGAACUAGGCAAAAUGGUGCCGUAACUUCGGGAGAAGGCACGCUGGUGUGUAGGUGAAGUCCCUGCGGAUGGAGCUGAGACCAGUCGAAGAUACCAGCUGGCUGCAACUGUUUAUUAAAAACACAGCACUGUGCAAACACGAAAGUGGACGUAUACGGUGUGACGCCUGCCCGGUGCCGGAAGGUUAAUUGAUGGGGUUAUCCGUAAGGAGAAGCUCUUGAUCGAAGCCCCGGUAAACGGCGGCCGUAACUAUAACGGUCCUAAGGUAGCGAAAUUCCUUGUCGGGUAAGUUCCGACCUGCACGAAUGGCGUAAUGAUGGCCAGGCUGUCUCCACCCGAGACUCAGUGAAAUUGAACUCGCUGUGAAGAUGCAGUGUACCCGCGGCAAGACGGAAAGACCCCGUGAACCUUUACUAUAGCUUGACACUGAACAUUGAGCCUUGAUGUGUAGGAUAGGUGGGAGGCUUUGAAGCGUGGACGCCAGUCUGCGUGGAGCCAACCUUGAAAUACCACCCUUUAAUGUUUGAUGUUCUAACGUUGGCCCCUUACCGGGGUUGCGGACAGUGUCUGGUGGGUAGUUUGACUGGGGCGGUCUCCUCCCAAAGCGUAACGGAGGAGCACGAAGGUUAGCUAAUCCUGGUCGGACAUCAGGAGGUUAGUGCAAUGGCAUAAGCUAGCUUGACUGCGAGCGUGACGGCGCGAGCAGGUGCGAAAGCAGGUCAUAGUGAUCCGGUGGUUCUGAAUGGAAGGGCCAUCGCUCAACGGAUAAAAGGUACUCCGGGGAUAACAGGCUGAUACCGCCCAAGAGUUCAUAUCGACGGCGGUGUUUGGCACCUCGAUGUCGGCUCAUCACAUCCUGGGGCUGAAGUAGGUCCCAAGGGUAUGGCUGUUCGCCAUUUAAAGUGGUACGCGAGCUGGGUUUAGAACGUCGUGAGACAGUUCGGUCCCUAUCUGCCGUGGGCGCUGGAGAAUUGAGGGGGGCUGCUCCUAGUACGAGAGGACCGGAGUGGACGCAUCACUGGUGUUCGGGUUGUCAUGCCAAUGGCACUGCCCGGUAGCUAAAUGCGGAAGAGAUAAGUGCUGAAAGCAUCUAAGCACGAAACUUGCCCCGAGAUGAGUUCUCCCUGAGACUUUAAGUCUCCUGAAGGAACGUUGAAGACGACGACGUUGAUAGGCCGGGUGUGUAAGCGCAGCGAUGCGUUGAGCUAACCGGUACUAAUGAACCGUGAGGCUUAACCUUACAACGCCGAAG
rnacentral:rRNA from 1 species